UAAAGAAAAACUAUCACAGCUAAGUAGACUUUACAAGUUAACGAGUUAUAUCUGUUUUUCGAGGUU